rnacentral:misc_RNA from 1 species
GGAAGUAAAAGUUGUAACAAGGUUUCCGUAGGUGAACCUGCGGAAGGAUCAUUAUUGAAUGAAACACUUCUGGCUUUAUGCUGUUGUGCUGGCCCUUUGGGCAAUGUGCACACGGCUCUGGUCACUUGUUUCUUCUGUUCCACCUGUGCACUGCCUGUAGACACGCUGUGUCUAUGAUAUUUGUUAACACACAACAAUGUUAGUUGGCAUGUUAUAUAUAAUAAUAAAAUAUACAACUUUCAACAACGGAUCUCUUGGCUCUC